rnacentral:rRNA from 2 species
CUCAGAGCGAACGGUGCGGCAGGCUUAACACAUGCAAGUCGAGCGGGCACUUUCGGGUGUCAGCGGCGGACGGGUGAGUAACGCGUGGGAACGUGCCUUCUGGUUCGGAAUAACUCAGGGAAACUUGAGCUAAUACCGGAUACGCCCUUUUGGGGAAAGGUUUACUGCCGGAAGAUCGGCCCGCGUCUGAUUAGCUAGUUGGUGGGGUAACGGCCUACCAAGGCGACGAUCAGUAGCUGGUCUGAGAGGAUGAUCAGCCACACUGGGACUGAGACACGGCCCAGACUCCUACGGGAGGCAGCAGUGGGGAAUAUUGGACAAUGGGGGCAACCCUGAUCCAGCCAUGCCGCGUGAGUGAUGAAGGCCUUAGGGUUGUAAAGCUCUUUUAUCCGGGACGAUAAUGACGGUACCGGAGGAAUAAGCCCCGGCUAACUUCGUGCCAGCAGCCGCGGUAAUACGAAGGGGGCUAGCGUUGCUCGGAAUCACUGGGCGUAAAGGGCGCGUAGGCGGUCUUUUAAGUCGGGGGUGAAAGCCUGUGGCUCAACCACAGAAUUGCCUUCGAUACUGGGAGACUUGAGUUCGGAAGAGGUUGGUGGAACUGCGAGUGUAGAGGUGAAAUUCGUAGAUAUUCGCAAGAACACCGGUGGCGAAGGCGGCCAACUGGUCCGACACUGACGCUGAGCGCGAAAGCGUGGGGAGCAAACA